GGCUCCAUGGCUUAGUUGGUUAAAGUGCCUGUCUCAUAAUCAGGAGACCCUGGAUUCAAAUACCAGUGGGGUCU